AAAAAAACGCUGCCACUGAACAGCGCGCAGUCACCUCACAUUUAUGCUGUGAAGAGAGCUAGAGAGUUGUGGUGACACUGUGCAAACAUUCAUAUUUCUUUCCUUUCUUUCCCUUUUCUGAACGUUUCACCGUCAAAAUAUGGACAUUAACGGGUCUCUGCCUUGGGUUUGACCACUCCAGGAGCUGGUUAAAUGUUAACCCUGACAACAGCAAGUGCUCCUCAAAGUUCCACGUCAUCAGAAGAAGUGGGAAGAUGGUGCAAAGGAAGAACUCUGGUCUGAACCCUCAUGUAUCCUCCUUCAUUAAAGGGAUAGUUCACCCAAAAAAUUAGUUCACCCAUUAAUAACUCACCCUCAUGUCGUUCCAAACCCGUGAGACCUCCAUUUAUCUCCUCAGUCCCUCCAUUGAAGCUGUGUGUUCGGUCUGCUGUCAAUGUCCAGAAAGGUAAGAAAAACAUCAUCAAAGUAGUCCAUGUGACAUCAUAGGGUCAGUUAGAAUUUUUUGAAGCAUCGAAAUUGCAUUUUGGUCCAAAAACUACAACUUUAUUCAGCAUUGUCUUCUCUUCCAUGUCUGUUGUUAGACAGUUCAAAACAAAGCAGUUUAGUGAUAUCCGGUUCGCGAACGAAUCACUCGAUGUACCCAGAUCCUUUUGAACCAGUUCACCAAAUCGAACUGAAUCGUUUUAAACGGUUCGCAUCUCCAAUACGCAUUAAUCCACAAAUUACUUAAACUGUUAACUUUUUUUAAUGUGGCUGACACUCCCUCUGAGUUCAAACAAACCAAUAUCCCGGAGUAAUUAAUUUACUCAAACAGUACACUGACUGAACUGCUGUGAAGAGAGAACUGAAGAUGAACACCGAGCCGAGCCAGAUAACGAACAAAAGACUGACUCGUUCUCGAGUCAGCCACAUUAAAAAAGUUAACAGCUUAAGUAAUUUGUGAAUUAAUACGUAUUGGAGACGCGAACAGUAUAAAACUAUUCAGUUCGAUUUGGUGAACUGGUUUAAAAAGAUCUGGUUACAUCGAAUGAUUCAUUCGUGAACCGGAUAUCACAAACUGCUUUGUUUUGAACUGUCUUACAACAGACAUGGAAGAGAAGACAAUGCUGAAUAAAGUUGUAGUUUUUGCUAUUUUUGGACCAAAAUGUAUUUUCGACGCUUCAAAAAAAUUCUAACCGACCCUCUGAUGUCACAUGGACUACUUUGAAGAUGUUUUUAUUACCUUUCUGGACAUGGACAGUAUACCGUACACACAGCUUCAGUGGAGGGACUGAGAGCUCUCGGACUAAAUCUAAAAUAUCUUAAACUGUGUUCAGAAGAUAAACGGAAGUCUCACGGGUUUGGAAUGACAUGAGGGUAAGUUAUUAAUGACAUAAUUGUCAUAAAACUAUCCCUUUAAUGAGUUUCUAGAUUUCAGCUGGCAAAACUAUAAAGCUACUAAGAGCAAAUACAUUCUACACAGGAGUUUUCUGAAUUUGUAAAUUUUUAAGAUUGUUCUUAUGACUGAAUCUGUUCAUGUCUGUUGUUUUAAAAUGCUCUUAAUAUGAAACUUUUAUGUAUAAAUGAAAUGUGUUCAAGUUUUUGGAAAACUGAAAGUACAAUCUGCAAGAAUAUUAAAAUGUUAUUUCAAGUAUUACAAUUUAACUAUUAAACCAAUAAAAUAAGUUAAACAGUCUUUUGUUUCUUUUUAUAGUUUUU
ensembl:lncRNA